UACGAAGGGGGCUAGCGUUGCUCGGAAUCACUGGGCGUAAAGGGUGCGUAGGCGGGUCUUUUAAGUCAGGGGUGAAAUCCUGGAGCUCAACUCCAGAACUGCCCUUGAUACUGAGGAUCUUGGAGUUCGGGAGAGGUGAGUGGAACUGCGAGUGUAGAGGUGAAAUUCGUAGAUAUUCGCAAGAACACCAGUGGCGAAGGCGGCUCACUGGCCCGAUACUGACGCUGAGGCACGAAAGCGUGGGGAGCAAACAGG
rnacentral:rRNA from 1 species